UUCGAUGGUAGCUGUGCGCAGGGCGCCCUCGGGUGCGCCGGUUUCUUGGAUCCCCGGUCUACUAACCUGCGUACAGCUGCCACCCAU
rnacentral:antisense_RNA from 1 species